rnacentral:rRNA from 1 species
UUUGACCUCAAAUCAGGUAGGACUACCCGCUGAACUUAAGCAUAUCAAUAAGCGGAGGAAAAGAAACUAACAAGGAUUCCCCUAGUAACUGCGAGUGAAGCGGGAAAAGCUCAAAUUUAAAA